UACGUAGGUGGCGAGCGUUAUCCGGAAUGAUUGGGCGUAAAGGGUGCGUAGGCGGCCUGCUAAGUCUGGAGUGAAAGGUACCGGCUCAACCGGUACAGGCUCUGGAAACUGGCGGGCUAGAGAGCAGAAGAGGAGAGUGGAACUCCAUGUGUAGCGGUGAAAUGCGUAGAUAUAUGGAAGAACACCAGUGGCGAAAGCGGCUCUCUGGUCUGUAACUGACGCUGAGGUUCGAAAGCGUGGGGAGCAAACAGG
rnacentral:rRNA from 1 species